ACGGCUCAGUAACACGUAGUCAACCUACCCUAUAGACGGGGAUAACCUCGGGAAACUGAGAAUAAUACCCGAUAGGUCAUUAUGCCUGGAAUGGUUUAUGACUUAAAUGAUUUUUCGCUGUAGGAUGGGACUGCGGUCUAUCAGCUUGUUGGUGAGGUAAUGGCCCACCAAGGCUAUAACAGAUACGGGCUCUGAGAGGAGAAGCCCGGAGAUGGGUACUGAGACACGGACCCAGGCCCUAUGGGGCGCAGCAGGCGAGAAAACUUUGCAAUGUGCGAAAGCACGACAAGGUUAAUCCGAGUGUUUUCUGCUAAAGAAAUCUUUUGUUAGUCCUAGAAACACUAACGAAUAAGGGGUGGGCAAGUUCUGGUGUCAGCCGCCGCGGUAAAACCAGCACCUCAAGUGGUCAGGAGGAUUAUUGGGCCUAAAGCAUCCGUAGCCUGCUUUGUAAGUUUUCGGUUAAAUCCAUAUGCUCAACAUAUGGGCUGCCGGGAAUACUGCACAGCUAGGGAGUGGGAGAGGUAGACGGUACUCGGUAGGAAGGGGUAAAAUCCUUUGAUCUAUUGAUGACCACCUGUGGCGAAGGCGGUCUACCAGAACACGUCCGACGGUGAGGGAUGAAAGCUGGGGGAGCAAACCGGAUUAGAUACCCGGGUAGUCCCAGCUGUAAACUAUGCAAACUCGGUGAUGCAUUGGCUUGUAGCCAGUGCAGUGCCGCAGGGAAGCCGUUAAGUUUGCCGCCUGGGAAGUACGUACGCAAGUAUGAAACUUAAAGGAAUUGGCGGGGGAGCACCACAAGGGUGAAACGCAAGUAUGAAACUUAAAGGAAGAAACUUA
rnacentral:rRNA from 1 species